rfam:Hordeum vulgare subsp. vulgare, WGS project CAJW01000000 data, contig: morex_contig_2550770
CUAAUACUCCCUCCGUUCGAAAAUACUUGUCCUAAAAAUAUAUAAAAUGAAUGUAUCUAUAACUAAAAUAAGUCUAGAUACAUUCAUUUGUAGGACAAGUAUUUCCGGACAGAGGGAGUAGUUG